rnacentral:rRNA from 1 species
ACAGCAGCCGCCGCGGUAAUACGAAGGGUGCAAGCGUUAAUCGGAAUUACUGGGCGUAAAGCGUGCGUAGGCGGUUUGUUAAGUCUGUUGUGAAAUCCCCGGGCUCAACCUGGGAAUGGCAAUGGAUACUGGCAAGCUAGAGUGUGUCAGAGGAUGGUGGAAUUCCCGGUGUAGCGGUGAGAUGCGUAGAGAUCGGGAGGAACAUCAGUGGCGAAGGCGGCCAUCUGGGACAACACUGACGCUGAGGCACGAAAGCGUGGGGAGCAAACAGGAUUAGAUACCCGCGUAGUCCCUGUCUCUUAUAC